GAGGCUGGGCUUUAAUCGAAGGUGACUGGAGUCCUAUACACAGGGGAAACGUGGGCACAGGCAGACACACAGCGAGUCGCCAUGCAGACAUCCGGGGAGGAGUGUCAAAGUCUGCUGGCAAAGCACCAGAAGCAGGGGGCGAGGCCUAGAACAGACCCUCCCUCACAGCCCUCAGAAGGAACGAACCCUCCCGACACCCUGACCCGAACUGCAGCCUCCAGAACCAGGAGACAGUGAAUACCUGCCGCUGAAGCUACCCCGUCUUCAGCACUUUGUCACCACAGCCCCAGGAAUCUCACACAGAGGACCCUAUCCAGCUGCUGCCCCACCUCCGAGAGGCUCGCCCUGCUGGAAGAGCACUGCUCGUUUGGUCCAUCGGCCACUCUGCGCAGGACCCCUGCGCGUAACCCAGGGUCUGCACUGUAGGCCACCCUCGCUGGACACGCCCAGGGCCCCGGGCCCCCACCUGCCUGUAGAAGAAGAUGGCCAGGCAUGUAGUAGAUGCUCAGUAAAUGCGUGCUGAACACAUGGAUGGAGAAUGAUGAGCCACGAUGAGGAAAAGGCAGAAAACGGAAGGAUGCAUAGGAUCAAGAUGGGGACAUCCUGAGGAGGGGUAAGAGACUAGCUGGUUACCCCCAGUCCCUAGCAUGGGAAAGACUGGGCAGUGGGGAAAACAAUGGGGAGAAGGGGAUUCUGGGAGG